rnacentral:rRNA from 1 species
AUUGAACGCUGGCGGCAUGCCUUACACAUGCAAGUCGAACGGCAGCACGGGAGCAAUCCUGGUGGCGAGUGGCGAACGGGCGAGUAAUAUAUCGGAACGUGCCCAGUAGUGGGGGAUAACUGCUCGAAAGAGCAGCUAAUACCGCAUACGACCUGAGGGUGAAAGGGGGGGAUCGCAAGACCUCUCGCUAUUGGAGCGGCCGAUAUCAGAUUAGCUAGUUGGUGGGGUAAAGGCCGACCAAGGCAACGAUCUGUAGUUGGUCUGAGAGGACGACCAGCCACACUGGGACUUGGACACGGCCCAGACUCCUACCGGAGGUAGCAGUGGGGAAUUUUGGACAAUGGGCGCAAGCCUGAUCCAGCAAUGCCGCGUGCAGGAAGAAGGCCUUCGGGUUGUAAACUGCUUUUGUCAGGGAAGAAAUCCUCUAGGUUAAUACCCUUGGGGGGAUGACGGUACCUGAAGAAUAAGCACCGGCUAACUACGUGCCAGCCGCCGCGGUAAAAC